UACGUAGGGUGCAAGCGUUUGUCCGGAAUUAUUGGGCGUAAAGAGCUCGUAGGCGGUUUGUCGCGUCUGCUGUGAAAACUCAGGGCUUAACCCUGAGCUUGCAGUGGGUACGGGCAGACUAGAGUGCGGUAGGGGAGACUGGAAUUCCUGGUGUAGCGGUGAAAUGCGCAGAUAUCAGGAGGAACACCGGUGGGCGAAGGCGGGUCUCUGGGCCGUAACUGACGCUGGAG
rnacentral:rRNA from 1 species